CCCUUAGAUGUCCUGGGCCGCACGCGCGUUACACUGAUGCAUUCAACGAGCUUAUAACCUUGGCCGAGAGGCCUGGGCAAUCUUGUUAACGUGCAUCGUGAUAGGGAUAGAUUAUUGAAAUUAUUAUUCUUGAACGAGGAAUUCCUAGUAAACGCAGAUCAUCAAUCUGCAUUGAUUACGUCCCUGCCCUUUGUACACACCGCCCGUCGCACCUACCGAUUGGAUGGUCCGGUGAAGCCUCGGGAUUGUGGUUCUUGCCGCUUUAUUGUGGCGUGACCGCGAGAACUUGUCUAAACCUUAUCAUCUAGAGGAAGGUGAAGUCGUAACA
rnacentral:rRNA from 1 species